rnacentral:rRNA from 1 species
UACGUAGGGGGCAAGCGUUGUCCGGAAUCAUUGGGCGUAAAGAGCGUGUAGGCGGCCCGAUAAGUCCGCUGUGAAAGUCCAGAGCUCAACCCUGGAAUGCCGGUGGAUACUGUCGGGCUCGAAUCCGGAAGAGGUGAGUGGAAUUCCUGGUGUAGCGGUGAAAUGCGCAGAUAUCAGGAGGAACACCGAUGGCGAAGGCAGGUCUCUGGCGAUUAACUGACGCUGAGGAGCGAAAAGCAUGGGGAGCGAACAGG